GCGGGAGUAGCUUAAUGGUAAAGUUCCAGAUUUCCAAUCUGGCCACGAGGGUUCGAUUCCCUUCUCCCGCU
rnacentral:tRNA from 7 species